UACAGAGGGGGCAAGCGUUGUUCGGAAUUACUGGGCGUAAAGGGCGCGUAGGCGGCCUGCUAAGUCGAACGUGAAAUCCCCGGGCUCAACCCGGGAACUGCGUCCGAUACUGACAGGCUUGAAUCCGGGAGAGGGAUGCGGAAUUCCAGGUGUAGCGGUGAAAUGCGUAGAUAUCUGGAGGAACACCGGUGGCGAAGGCGGCAUCCUGGACCGGCAUUGACGCUGAGGCGCGAAAGUCAGGGGAGCAAACGGG
rnacentral:rRNA from 1 species